rnacentral:rRNA from 1 species
UACGUAGGGUGCAAGCGUUGUCCGGAAUUAUUGGGCGUAAAGAGCUCGUAGGCGGUCUGUCGCGUCUGCUGUGAAAACUCGGGGCUUAACCCCGGGCCUGCAGUGGGUACGGGCAGACUAGAGUGCGGUAGGGGAGACUGGAAUUCCGGGUGUAGUGGUGAAAUGCGUAGAGAUCCGGAGGAAUACCAGUGGCGAAGGCGGCUUGCUGGGUCUAGACUGACACUCAGACGCGAAAGCAUGGGGAGCGAACGGG